rnacentral:tRNA from 1 species
UGUAUAUUUAGUGUAUAUUGCACGAUGAGUUUUGAUCUCUUAAGUUUAGGUUAAAUUCCUUAAAUUACAA